CACACACACACACACACACACACACACACACACACACACACACACACACACACACACACACACACACACACACAAAAAAAACAUGCACACAGAGUUGGACACACUCAAACACGCUAUCUUGUGAUAGAUAAUCACAUACACACAUAUAAACACACACAUAUACCACACAAACAUCCGUGUACGCACAUGUACUCAACCUCAAAAUCCAUCUGCUAUCAGGCACACGCUGCAAGACACACAUCCCCAACGAUGCAAAGUUGGUUUGAGCUAGUUCAUACCCUAGCACAGUGCUCUCCAGGGGACUGGAUGUUCUUCCCCAAACUACCCACUGGGUUGAAUGUUAUUCAUUUAGACACCAACAAAGCUUAGCUUCAGCACAGCGCUGCUAGCCUAACUUCACACACCACAGUGCUGCUAGCGAAGCGUCAAGAUCCAACAGCUAAAAUGCACAGCAUUAUUAUUUGCAGAGCUUCAGUACUGCACAGUGCUGGGAGCUAAGCUUCAACACACCACAGUGCUGUUAGCUUAGAUUUUACCACAGUGCUGGUAGCUUAGCUUCUCCACCCAACAGUGCUGGUAGCUUAGCUUCUCCAAAACGCUGCAGUGUUGUUAGGUUCAGCAAACCCCAGUGUUGUUAGCUUAGUUUCACGACGCCACAGAGCUGCUAGCUAUGCUUCAACAAACCACGUGUUGUUGGCCUAGCUUCCACUCACCAUUGGGGUGGAAGCUUAGCUUCAGCACAGAGUCCCACUAACCAACAACAUGGAGUCCUCACAAGUGACAUAUACACUGUUCCCACUGCGUGUGUGUGUGUGUGUGUCUGUGUGUGUGUGUGUGUGUGUGUGUGUACGCGCGUGUGUGUGUGUGUGUCUUUGCGUGUGCGAGUGUGCAUGUAGUCCUCAGUAUGGGAGGAUUACAUUUUAUUUCCCACCCAUCCACCGAUUCUCUGCUUCUUUCUCCCUCUUGCGUCCACGCAAAUUAUCACUUAGUCAUGUUUAACAAUUCAAUGGCCUAUAUAAAUAUAUGAAUAUAUAUAUAUAAAUAUAUAUAUCUUUUUUAUAAGAAUUUCUUACAGGUCUUAGACUGUAAAAAUGGAACACCUCUGGAUAAAAAAAAAGACAUUGAUUUCUUUGGGUGAUCUUGCUGUUUCAGUUGAUGAAUUAAGUUGCUUUUCACUGCUGAGAAACACCGUCGAGGGAAUGGGAAACCGUUGAUGUCACCUCCGAAACAUUAACAGACAGUUGACAUGUUUUGUGUGUGUUAUAACAGAAUCCGAUGUAGAACGCAUCUGUGUGUGUGUAUCUCUGUGUGUGUGUGUGUGUGUGUGUGUGUGUGUGUGUGUGUGUGUGUGUGUGUGUGUGUGUGUGUGUGUGUGUGUGUGUGUGUGUGUGUGUGUGUGUGUGUGUGUGUGUUUGAUUGGCCAGGAUAGGUGUGUUUUAUUUAUGUAUACAAUCAGAAAAAUAGAAUACCUUGGUUUAUUCAUCAAUCAUAAUAUAAGAUUCUACUCUAUAGAAAGGUGCGGGUUUCAGAGCCAGUGAGGGCAACGUGCACGGGAGACAUUAGUGCAAUAUUGUUUUGAUGUUAUGCAACGAAGGUGGAUAUGUGUGUGCGUUUGUGUGUGUGUGUGUGUGUGUGUGUGUGUGUCUGCAGAGAUUAUAUCAGUAUAUUUAUCAAGUUUGCACUGAGGGCAUCAUAUGCUACAGGUAUGGAUGGACGAAGGGCCGCGCCGGACCGCCUGACGGUCGCCUCGGGGUUCUCUAUCGCAUGUGUUGCCUUUACUUUGUUUUGCUUCGAGUUACAGCGACACACGCGUGGAAGUGACAGUGUGUUGUGGACGUGAGCAAUCAUUAUUUAUUAAAUCUGUUUAUUUUGACCACACCCCCCUCGCACGCUACGGCCAGGAACGGCCGGAGCUGGGGAAAUGUCGGUUGAUCCUUGGUUAGUUUGUUUUAUAGGUCGGUUUCCAAAAUUCAGUUUCUGGGCCUGUGUCGUUUUUUUUUUUCUUGAUUUUGGGGGAGGGGUGGGGCUUUUGGGUGUUGGGGCGGGUCUUUAUGUGGGGAGGGGGGAGGGUGGUAGGGUUUCCUGAGCCGUUGUAAAUAUUAGAAAUAUUGCGGGGACAAGCAACUGGACUUUUUUAGCCAUGCACACGGUUUGACUGGAUGGACGUUGAAAUCAUAUCAGAACCUACAGCCCAUCGAAUACACACACAUAGACACACUAGCCCUCACACACACACCGACAAACAUAUGCACAUGGAGGCACAUACACAAACACACACACGUAAGCACUCCCACAUAUCGACACAUCCACCAAAUCACUGAGAAGCGAUGGCAUCACAUCACAUGGGACAUGAAUAGAAAAUCUUUCAAUAUCUUUGUUUUAAAGGUUCAAUGUUUUUCUUAUUAUCUCUCAGCCAUCCUUAUCAUAGUGUGAUAUUCCUUAUAAAAUAUAUGAAUUUUUACAGAGAAGAUUGAUUAUAAAGUUACAACAAAGUCGACCGAUGCAGAAGAAUAUAUUUAACAAUGACAAUAUCAAGCAAAAUAACAUGUUCCAGUUCAGUGAAUCGCUUGUUGUAAAUUAGCUAUAAAUUAAUAAAAUGAAUUUAAAAAUGCUUUCUGAGAAUCGACUCUGCAACGCUUGUUAUUUUGUC
ensembl:lncRNA